rnacentral:rRNA from 1 species
AUUGAACGCUGGCGGCAGGCCUAACACAUGCAAGUCGAGCGGAGCGGCCGACGGGCGAGUAAUGCCUAGCUAUCUGCCUGGCAGUGGGGGAUAACGUCCGGAUACGGGCGCUAAUACCGCCUACCUUCCGACGAGCGUAGGUCGGAUUAGUUAGGUGGUGGGGUAAAGGCCUACCAAGGUGACGAUCCGUACCUGGUUUGAGAGGAUGAUCAGCCACACUGGAACUGAGACACGGUCCAGACUCCUACGGGAGGCAGCAGUGGGGAAUAUUGGACAAUGGGCGAAAGCCUGAUGCAGCCAUGCCGCGUGUGUGAAGAAGGUCUUCGGGUUGUAAAGCACUUUAAGUUGGGAGGCGUUACCAACAGAAUAAGCACCGGCUAACUUCGUGCCAGCAGCCGCGGUAAUAC